rnacentral:rRNA from 1 species
CCUACGGGAGGCAGCAGUGGGGAAUAUUGCACAAUGGGGGAAACCCUGAUGCAGCGACGCCGCGUGAGUGAAGAAGUAUUUCGGUAUGUAAAGCUCUAUCAGCAGGGAAGAAACCCACCCUCCGGGGUGGCUGACGGUACCUGACUAAGAAGCCCCGGCUAACUACGUGCCAGCAGCCGCGGUAAUACGUAGGGGGCAAGCGUUAUCCGGAUUUACUGGGUGGAAAGGGCUCUUAGGGUGCAAGGCAAGGCAGAUGUGAAAACCCGGGGCCCAACACCGGGAGUGCAUUUGAAACUGUCUGGCUAGAGUGCAGGAGAGGUAAGUGGAAGUCCUAGUGUAGCGGUGAAAUGCAUAGAUAUUAGGAGGAACACCAGGGGCGAAGGCGGCUUACUGGACUGUAACUGACACUGAGGCUCGAAAGCGUGGGGAGCAAACAGGAUUAGAUACCCCUGUAGGC